rfam:Brassica napus, WGS project CCCW01000000 data, contig: 6376
GGAAUAUACGAAACCGUCUCUUAACUUUUAACUAAAAAAACUAAGAACCGGUUUUUAAAUAUAAUAUUUAAGAACCGGUUCAUAGUUUUUUAGUUAAAAGUUAAGAGACGGUUUUUUAUAUUCC